GGAGAUAUCGCUCAUUUGGUAGAGUGUUUGCCUCGCAUGCACAAGGCUCUGGGUUUGAACCCCAGCACCACCU
rnacentral:tRNA from 1 species